AGGAGCUAUUAUUAAAAUAUGCCUUCUGUUUGAUAUUCUUUUCAGUAUUUCAAGAAGCUAUCCUGUGUAGUUUAAAAGAUAAUGCAAUUAAUGUGAAACCGACCGUUUAUUUUAGUUCACCAGUGUGUUAUUUCGAUAUGGACACAUUAUGGCCAAAAACAAAAGCCUUUAUUGAAGUCGCGUAAAGUUUAAAAUUAUUUUCAUUCAACCGCCAGUCAAGUGGCGUUCGUGCUCACGUCGCUACAACUGAAGUUUUGACAAUAAAUGUAACUUAUAAUAAGGCAAUUAGUAUUUAUAUGUUGUUCUCACAUAAACAACGCUUUCAACAUAUUCAAUUAUUGAAUUAUAUGUAUUCUACCUACGUUUAAUAAGCUACGGUAGUAGUAGUACUUUGUACUGAAAUUUAUUCCUACAUGUGUAAUGAAUAUGGAUAAUAUUUUUCUUAAUCUCAUUGUAUUGGGUUGGAUACCGAUUCUCGUAGUGAGUUUGGACACACCAGAGCCUGACUGCACAGAAGAUCUGGACGAAGCGAAGAGUUCAUCUCAUGAAGAUUUCAGUGAGAAUCUAUACGACUGCGAAGGGAAAAUCGACGAUGCCCUGUGUCAAAAAUUUCAUCUGUGUACAAAUGACUGCAAAUCAAUAUACGAUACUUUAUGUCUAGAUUUCAACUGCAAAGUCCCACGGUGCACUUAUAUACGUGACUGCAAACAAAUUUGUGAUGACCAAUUAAUUAAAAAUAUUCCUUCAUUCAGAUCAUCAGAUAAUUACAACGAAAUAGAUAUCUAUAAUUUGAUUCAAGAUAGAAAGGACUUAAGAUCUAAAA